rnacentral:rRNA from 1 species
AGAGUUUGAUCCUGGCUCAGGACGAACGCUGGCGGCGCGCCUAACACAUGCAAGUCGAACGAGAGAUGAGGAGCUUGCUCUUCAAAUCGAGUGGCGAACGGGUGAGUAACGCGUGAGGAACCUGCCUCAAAGAGGGGGACAACAGUUGGAAACGACUGCUAAUACCGCAUAAGCCCACGGCUCGGCAUCGAGCAGAGGGAAAAGGAGCAAUCCGCUUUGAGAUGGCCUCGCGUCCGAUUAGCUAGUUGGUGAGGUAACGGCCCACCAAGGCGACGAUCGGUAGCCGGACUGAGAGGUUGAACGGCCACA